UGGGGAAUAUUGGACAAUGGGCGAAAGCCUGAUCCAGCCAUGCCGCGUGUGUGAAGAAGGCCUUUUGGUUGUAAAGCACUUUAAGCGAGGAGGAGGCUACUUAGAUUAAUACUCUUGGAUAGUGGACGUUACUCGCAGAAUAAGCACCGGCUAACUCUGUGCCAGCAGCCGCGGUAAUACAGAGGGUGCGAGCGUUAAUCGGAUUUACUGGGCGUAAAGCGUGCGUAGGCGGCUUCUUAAGUCGGAUGUGAAAUCCCUGAGCUUAACUUAGGAAUUGCAUUCGAUACUGGGAAGCUAGAGUAUGGGAGAGGAUGGUAGAAUUCCAGGUGUAGCGGUGAAAUGCGUAGAGAUCUGGAGGAAUACCGAUGGCGAAGGCAGCCAUCUGGCCUAAUACUGACGCUGAGGUACGAAAGCAUGGGGAGCAAACAGG
rnacentral:rRNA from 1 species